UACGUAGGGUGCAAGCGUUGGCCGGAGUCACUGGGUGUAAAGGGCGCGUAGGCGGGUUAGCAAGUCAGAGGUGAAAUCUCCAGGCUCAACCGGGAAACUGCCUUGGAAACUGUUAAGCUUGAGUGAGGAAGAGAGAGACGGAAUUCCCGGUGUAGCGGUGAAAUGCGUAGAGAUCUGGAGGAACACCGGUUGCGAAGGCGGUCUCGUGGUCAGUAACUGACGCUCAGGCGCGAAAGCGUGGGUAGCAAACAGGAUUAGAUACCCGGGUAGUCC
rnacentral:rRNA from 1 species